rnacentral:pre_miRNA from 1 species
GAAAACCUGAAAAUUACUGUUGGAUCAAAAAUAGACAUCCGAGAUUCAUCCACGUCACCAUGAGUAAAAAAAUUACUCGCAGAUUUGCUUAUGAGUAAAAAGUAAUUUUUUUUACUCAUGGUGACGUGGAUAAAUCUCGAACGUCCAUUUUUCAAUCCAAAGACAGUUUCCAAGUUUCU